rnacentral:snRNA from 1 species
GUGUGAGAGCAAUUGGACUGUGACAUCUGUCAUCCCAAUGAUCUCUAGGGUUGAUUAGGCUGAUCUAGCUGGCUAGUCAUGUGUUCCAUGACUCUAUUUGCUCCACAUGCAUCCCUCUCAAAGCUGCAUGCUCUGUCAAAGAUGAUGGCCUUCCCUAAUACAGAAGGACCACGGCUUGGUAUGGCAGUAGCUGCACUCUGUUGCUAGAAUCUCCAAACAAGCUGUCAAGCUGGGCUGGAUGUUGAGUUGCCUCCUUCACUUUCUCCUCAGUCAAACACAAGGAUAUGUUU